AGCCCCGCAGUGGCGCACACCAAAAUGCAAGUUUGGAGACGCACCCCAUAAGGGUGCCGGGGCUUC
rnacentral:tRNA from 1 species